AGUAAAAGUCGUAACAAGGUUUCCGUAGGUGAACCUGCGGAAGGAUCAUUAACGCAUCUUCUGACGGGGAGGGCGGUCCCGGCUCCGACCGAGAGGUCGUGCAGCGGGCCCGCUCGAACCGCUCAACCCCCCUUUGCAAACCCCACUUGUGCACUUUUGUCGGCAGAGGGCGGGGAGACCCGCCCGAGCCGGAUCACAGACUCCAGUCUAACGAGAACGAUUCGCGGACAAUGCGCCGCCUAAACUUUGUAACAACUUUCAACAACGGAUCUCUUGGCUCUCGCAUCGAUGAAGAACGCAGCGAAAUGCGAUAAGUAAUGUGAAUUGCAGAAUUCAGUGAAUCAUCGAAUCUUUGAACGCACCUUGCGCUCCUUGAUAUUCCGAGGAGCAUGCCUGUUUGAGUGUCUUGAAGUCAUCAACCCCUCCCGUUUUUGCUAGCGGAGAGUAAGGUUGGACGUGGGGGUUUGUUGCGGGAGCCCGCGAGGGCCCCGCUCCCCUCAAAUGCGUCGGUUGGGCCUGUUGGGUCGAACUCGGUCGGGCGUUGUACCAUCCUCGCUCUUGCUCCGAGACGUUCCCCCUCAGUCUUAUCGCCCUCCCACGACCGCCUCUUUGAACGGUGGCGGUCAACGUGUAAAGCACUUUGAAAUCUGACCUCAAAUCAGGUAGGACUACCCGC
rnacentral:rRNA from 1 species